rnacentral:rRNA from 1 species
UGAAACUGCGAAUGGCUCAUUAAAACAGUUAUAGUUUAUUUGAUAAUUGAAUACUCAUGGAUAACCGUGGUAAUUCUAGAGCUAAUACAUGCGUCUGAACCUGACUUUUUGAAGGGUUGUAUUUAUUAGAUACUAAGCCAAUAGUCUCUGACUGUUGUGAUGAUUCAUAAUAACUGAUCGAAGCGAGGUUCGCCCCGCUAAAUCAUUCAAGUUUCUGCCCUAUCAGCUUUCGAUGGUAGUGUAUUGGACUACCAUGGCAGUCACGGGUAACGGGGAAUUAGGGUUCGAUUCCGGAGAGGGAGCCUGAGAAACGGCUACCACUUCUAAGGAAGGCAGCAGGCGCGUAAAUUACCCAAUCCCGAUUCGGGGAGGUAGUGACAAGAAAUAACAACUCGGGUCCUUCGGGAUUACGAGAUUGCAAUGAGAUCAAUUUAGACCACUUAACGAGGAACAAUUGGAGGGCAAGUCUGGUGCCAGCAGCCGCGGUAAUUCCAGCUCCAAUAGCGUAUAUUAAAGUUGUUGCAGUUAAAAAGCUCGUAGUUGAACUUCUGGCUGAUGCGAAUUCAGGCUUCGGUCGUUUUCGUAACAGUCAUCCGCUUGGGAACUCCGUUCGAACUUCACUGUUCGGCGGAAGGAACAGCAUUUUACUUUGAAAAAAUUAGAGUGUUCAAGGCAGGCUAUCGCCUGAUACACAAGCAUGGAAUAUGAAUAGGGACUGGUUCAUUUAUGGUUAUGGACUAGUAAUGAUUAAUAGGACAGUUGGGGGCAUAGUAUUUAAUUGUCAGACGUGAAAUUCUCGAAUUAUAAGACUUACCUAUUGCGAAGCAUUGCAGAUGUUUCCUUAUCAGACGAGGUAGGAUCAAGCGAUCAAUCGUCUAGCGUGAACUUAACAUUGCGACUAGG